rnacentral:rRNA from 1 species
UAGCAAUACUGAGUGGCAGACGGGUGAGUAUGAUGUGGGAAUCUGCCUUUUGGUUUGGAAUAACUUGGGGAAACCUGAGCUAAUACCGGAUAAGCCCUUACGGGGAAAGCUUUAUGCGCCAAGAGAUGAGCACGCACUUGAUUAGCUUGUUGGUGAGGUAAAGGCUCACCAAGGCAACGAUCAAUAGCUGUUCUUAGAGGAAGCCCAGCCACAUUGGGACUGAGACACGGCCCAGACUCCUACGGGAGGCAGCAGUAGGGAAUCUUGCACAAUGGGGGCAACCCUGAUGCAGCGAUGCCGCGUGAGUGAAGAAGGCCCUUGGGUUGUAAAACUCUUUCGUCGGGGAAGAAAAUGACUGUACCCGAAUAAGAAGGUCCGGCUAACUUCGUGCCAGCAGCCGAGGUAAUACGAAGGGAUCUAGCGUAGUUCGGAAUUACUGGGCUUAAAGAGCUCGUAGGUGGUUAAAAAAGUUGAUGGUGAAAUCCCAAGGCUUAACCGUGGAACUGCCAUCAAAACUUUUUAGCUGGAGUAUGAUAGAGGAAAGUGGAAUUUCUAGUGUAGAGGUGAAAUUCGUAGAUAUUAGAAAGAACACCAAAUGCGAAGGCAACUUUCUGGAUCAUUACUGACACUGAGGAGCGAAACCAUGGGUAGCGAAGAGGAUUAGAUCCCCUCGUAGUCCAUGCUGUAAACGAUGUGUGCUAGACGUUGGAAACUUAGUUUUCAGUGCCGCAGCGAAAGCAUUAAGCACACCGCCUGGGGAGUACGACCGCAAGGUUAAAACUCAAAUGAAUUGACGGGGACCCGCAGAAGCAGUGGAGCAUGUGGUUUAAUUCGAAGAUACGCGCAGAACCUUACCAACACUUGACAUGUUCGUCGCGACUCUAAGAGAUUAGAGUUUUCGGUUCGGCCGGACGAAACACAGGUGCUGGAUGGCUGUCGUCAGCUCGUGU